UAGCCAAUUUCCCAAGAAAUCAUUAAUGCCUUUGAGAGUGGCUUACAAAACUAUAGCUUCAGUCACGAAGGCCAACAGUAUACCCUAGAUUUGAAGAACCUUAUACAAACUAACUCAACAACAGAACAAGUGUCAUCCAUUCAGCGCCGUCCUGCCUACCACACACCUAUCGACAUGGUACCACAUCUGCGGACACUCCCAAAUGGUUGUAGGGGACAUCUCAAUCCUUAUGCUGCCAACAUCCCUGGGGAGGAUCCCACUGAUGGGUACUCUGGACCAUAUCCUGCAUCAUGGAUCUCAUGCCCCUCAGAAGGACCCACUUAUGUGCAACGUGAAAUAGCACCAUCAGAAGCAGUGUACCGCACAGUUUAUACUCUCUUCCACAAAACUCUCUCAGAGGAUACAUUUCUGGUGUUAGGGAUUUACAGGAUCAGGCAGGAGUAUCUUUGGCAAAAAUACAGCAGAAAGAAGAUCCUGCUGUGCUUGGUGGCAAACCAUAGAUCUUAUCACUAAAACUGAAUGCAGAUCCCACUGUACUAGAGUGAACAGGUU
rnacentral:lncRNA from 1 species